ensembl:lncRNA
CAGGCUAUGGGUCAGGCUAUGGGUCAGGCUAUGGGUCAGGCCGUGCUAUGGGUCAGGCUAUGGGUCUGGCUGUGGGUCAGGCUAUGGGUCAGGCUGUGCUAUGGGUCAGGCUAUGGGUCAGGCUAUGGGUCAGGCUAUGAGUCAGGCUAUGGGUCCAGCUGUGGGUGUGGCUGUGCUAUGGGUCAGGCUGUGGGUCAGGCUAUGGGUCACGCUAUGGGUCACGCUAUGGGUCAGGCUGUGGGUCAGGCUGUGGGGCUGAUGUUUGCACAGAGCGCGCUGUGAGCGCGGGGCACGAUGUGAGCGACGGGGGGCUGCUGAGCUGUGGGUCAGGCUAUGGGUCAGGCUAUGGGUCCGGCUGUGCUAUGGGUCAGGCUAUGGGUCAGGCUGUGGGUCAGGCUAUGGGUCAGGCAAUGCUAUGGGUCAGGCUAUGGGUCAGGCCAUGCUAUGGGUCAGGCUAUGGGGCUGAUGUUUGCACAGAGCGCGCUGUGAGCGCGGGGCACGACGUGAGCGAUGGGGGGCUGCUGAGCUGGGGGUCAGGCUAUGGGUCAGGCUGUGCUAUGGGUCAGGCUAUGGGUCAGGCUGUGGGUCAGGCUAUGGGUCAGGCUGUGCUAUGGGUCAGGCCACGCUAUGGGUCAGGCUGUGGGGCUGAUGUUUGCACAGAGCGCGCUGUGAGCGCGGGGCACGACGUGAGCGAUGGGGGGCUGCUGAGCUGUGGGUCAGGCUAUGUGUCAGGCUAUGGGUCAGGCUAUGGGUCAGGCCAUGCUAUGGGUCAGGCUGUGGGGCUGAUAUUUGCACAGAGCGCGCUGUGAGCGCGGGGCACGACGUGAGCGACGGGGGGCUGCUGAGCUGUGGGUCAGGCUAUGGGUCAGGCCAUGCUAUGGGCCAGGCUAUGGGUCAGGCCAUGCUAUGGGUCAGGCUAUGGGGCUGAUGUUUGCACAGAGCGGGCUGUGAGCGCGGGGCACGACGUGAGCGAUGGGGGGCUGCUGAGCUGCGCCCUGGAAAUGGCCAUGGCCGGGAACUGCGGCCUCAGCAUCCAGCUCCACAGCGACGGCGCCCAGCGUACGUGGGGCAGCCACAGCCCAUAAUAGUCCCCCGGCGCGGCCCGUCCUAUCCCAUAAUAACCCAGCCUAUCCCAUAAUAUCCUGUCCUAUCGCAUCAUAUCCCGUCCUAUCUCGUAAUAUCCCGUCCUAUCCCAUCCUAUCCCUUCCUAUCCCAUAAUAUCCCGUCCUAUCCCAUCAUAUCCUGUCCUAUCCCAUCCUAUCCUGUCCUAUCCCAUAAUAUCCCAAAAUAUCCCAUCCUAUCCCAUCAUAUCCCAUCCUAUCCCAUAAUAUUCCAUCCUAUCCCAUCCUAUCCCAUCAUAUUCUAUCCUGUCCUAUCCUAUCCCAUCCUAUCCCAUAAUAUCCCAUGCUAUCCCAUAAUAUUCCAUGCUAUCUCAUAAUAUCCCAUCCUAUCCCAUCAUAUCCUAUCAUAUCCAUUCAUACCCUAUAAUAUCCUUUCCUAUCCCAUAAUAUCCCAUCGUACCCCAUCCUAUCCCAUCCUAUCCCAUCUUAUCCCAUAAUAUCCCGUCCUAUCCCAUAAUAUCCCAUAAUAUCCCACCCCAUCCCAUAAUAUCCCAUCCAUCCCAUCAUAUCCCAUCCUAUCCCAUAAUAUCCCGUCGUAUCCCAUAAUAUCCCGUCCUAUCCCAUAAUAUGCCAUCCUAUCCCAUAAUAUCCUACCCUAUCCCAUCCUAUCCCAUAAUAUCCCUUCCUAUCCCAUAAUAUCCUAUCCUAUCCCAUAAUACCCCAGCGCAGCACAUCGUAUCCCAUCCUA